rnacentral:rRNA from 1 species
UACGUAGGGGGCGAGCGUUGUCCGGAUUUACUGGGCGUAAAGCGCGUGUAGGCGGCCUGUUAAGUGGGGUGUGAAAGCCCGGGGCUCAACCCCGGGACGCCGCUUCAAACUGGCAGGCUUGAGGACGGAAGAGGGGAGUGGAAUUCCUGGUGUAGCGGUGAAAUGCGUAGAGAUCAGGAGGAACACCCGUGGCGAAGGCGGCUCCCUGGUCCGUCCCUGACGCUGAGACGCGAAAGCGCGGGGAGCGAACGGG